AAAAAAAAAAAAUUUAUCUCUUCAUUCAAAAUACGUUACCAGGAAACCCUAGCCGAUUGAGCAAACAAAGAUCUCCACUGAAUUUCCCUAAGCCACAACGUCUUCGUUUUCUGAUGCAUGUCUCCAUGUCACAAAUCACGUCAUCAAGAUAAGUUCUAUUUAUCAAUUAUGUUGCUUAGAUCCGAUCGGCUCAUGCAUAAAAAUAUCUAUGGCAUAUUAAUAUUUAUGGCUUGAUUAUAGAUCAGCUUAUCUUUUAGCUUCGGGAUGCUAUCAAAACUCUAAUCGUAUAAUGAAGGGCUGUCUCUAGGUGGCAUCCUAUAUUAUAGUCGCUCAACUAGAAUCACCUUGUACUAUUGACCUCUACCCAAUUCACCCUAUACUAAUUAAAAACUUCCCAAUUCGACCUAAGCUUUUAAUUUCUACUUAUUUCAACCAAUUCAAUCAACCCAAUUAAUUGCGUUUAAAAAUCAUAAAAUCGCAAUUACUGUACCACGAUUAUACUAAAUCAAGUUUAAAAACUAUAACCUAAGAUUCAAUUCGG
rnacentral:lncRNA from 1 species